rnacentral:ribozyme from 2 species
GUUUUAAUGUAGCCACGCAAAAAGUUUUUGCGUGUCCGUUUCAAGCCGGUUAAAUACAGAGUGAACG